rnacentral:rRNA from 1 species
AGCAGCCGCGGUAAUUCCAGCUCCAAUAGCGUAUAUUAAAGUUGUUGCAGUUAAAAGCUCGUAGUUGAAUUUCGGGGUCAAUAAGUUGGUCAUGCCAAUGGUAUGUACUGGCUUUAUUGAUUCCUACCUCUUGACGAACUGUGAUGCCAUUAAUUUGGUGUUGCAAGGAAUCAGGACUGUUACCUUGAAAAAUUAGAGUGUUUAAAGCAAGCUUACGCUUGAAUACAUUAGCAUGGAAUAAUGAAAUAGGACGUUUGAUCCUAUUUUUGUUGGUUUCUAGGAUCGACGUAAUGAUUAAUAGGGAUAGUUGGGGCAUUAGUAUUCAAUUUGUCAGAGGGUGAAAUUCUUGGGAUUUAUUGAAGACUAACUACUGCGAAAGCAUUUGCCAAGGAUGUUUUCAUUAAUUCAAGACGAAAGUUUAGGGGAUCGAAGACGAUCAGAUACCGUCGUAGUCUUAAACCCAUAAAACCUAUGCCGACUA